UACGAAGGGGGCAAGCGUUGUUCGGAAUUAUUGGGCGUAAAGGGCGCGUAGGCGGUGCGGUAAGAGUGUUGUGAAAUCCUCGGGCUCAACUCGAGGCCUGCAACGCUGACUGCCGUGCUGGAGUGUGGGAGAGGUGCGUGGAAUUCCCGGUGUAGCGGUGAAAUGCGUAGAUAUCGCUUGGAACGCCGAAGGUGAAAACAGGCUGCUGGGGUUGCGCCGACGCUGAGACACGAAAGCCAGGGGAGCAAACGGG
rnacentral:rRNA from 1 species